rnacentral:lncRNA from 1 species
CUCCUAAACACCUAUUACAGUAUACGUUACGUAUUCAACCAUCACAAUUAAUAUAUACCCAUAAUAAACAGACUUGAGAAUUAGAAUCAAGAGGAUUAAUUUUAAUUCUAAGGCUCCACACAAUAUUUGAAUCACUCUUUCUCUAGUUUAUUGAUUAAUUGUUGCAACUUCUUCAGAUACUUUUUCGUGGAAUGAUCCCGCGUCAUUCCUGUUGAAAAUCUGAGUUUUCCAUACAGCUGUNUAGGGGUUUGAUAUAAGAAGACAUGUUCGUCAUCAGCAUCACUGUGGUUUGAGUUCGAAUUUUCAGACAUCUCUGAAGUGAUCAUAUGCAUGAUCCUGCCUGGUGGAUAAAGACGUCGCCUAGCUGAAGUUCUAUCUUCACUAACACUGUCUUCUUCACUGAUAUCUUUCUCCUUAGCAUGUUUUNN